GAUGCAGCAGUAAACCACAGAUUUAAUUGAAACCACAGACAAACUAGAGGGCUAAUUUUAAAACAUAAAAUGAGUGACUCAUGCGAAAAUUGCGAAUUGUGCGCAAAGGGGAGGGAUUCAUCGCUAAAUUUCCCCAUUCACCCCAACCAUGCGCAUACCCGGCCAACCAAAGCGGGUUGUCGCGCGGGUCCUAGCGCUAUGAAAACGGCACCGCACUGAUUAGGCCUUCAUUUCCCCUUUUUACAUUCCAGAACAAUACACCCUCAUUUAGUUUUGAAAUCAUAACACAAUUCUUGGCUAGGGUUCUUCCUGCAAGCGGCCAAAUUACCAUCAAAUUUGGCAUCCAGCAACGUGCAGAACCACUCCCGAUUCUGCUACUACAAGUACUCAACCAUCUAUUGAAGAAUUUGUUCUCAUCGCGUAGCCACUAACCUUCAUCAAUUGGAUGGCUAAUGGCGCGGAUGAUGGUCGGGUUUUACCAACAGAGGCCUCAAUUCUUAAAAACUGGUAAUACUGCUUCUUUUUCCCCUUUUUCUCUUAAAAAAACGAAUCCUAUGAUAUUGUUUCAAGAAAAACGAAGUAGAACAAAACAAAACUUAUGAUAUUCUUUAAAAAAACGAAAUAACUUUCAAAGCUUGAAACAUGAUUUAGUAUCACUCGAUCCUCGCCCCAUCUACGCAUGUUUGUGAUAUUGGGCUAUCAUCGGUAUCGAGGCUUUUCUCUUGGUACUUAAUCUUAAAAUUAAUUAAAGGAGAAAUGAAGAAAAGAAAAAAACUGAAGAAUCACCUUUCAAAACUUUUUGCUUGAUUCAAUAUGAUGCGAAUGUAUAGUAUGCGUACAGUAUCCUCUGUAUGUGUGUGUGUAAUCUCCUUGUUGUAUUCUCCCUCCCUUUUUACAAUCGAAAAUCAAAGGCUUUAUAGCCGAAUGACUAAAAAAACAACAAUUUUUGUCUUCUGCUUUUUUGUAUUGGCUGGUUGCUGCUUUUGUUUGUUUUCUUUUGCAGGUACCGAGCACGGGGCUGUGCGUUGGCGCUCGGGUAUGGGUUCAGAGACUGGGGCGACGUGAGGCCGUGUGUUGGCCCUUGGCACGAGGGUAUGGGGCGAUGGCACGAGGGUAUGGGGCGAUGGCACGAGGGUAUGGGGCGAUGGCAGACAGUAUGGGCGAUUGAACUUGGGGGCUGAGAAGUUUUAGGACUAGUUGGGCUAAGGUUUAGUUUUGGGCUUGGGUAUAUUGGGCUGUUAUAUUUGUUUAUGGGCCCGGACAAUAUUGGGUCUGUACACUAGUUAUCUUAAAUUUAAAAUAAAUAAUACAUACUUGAUGAUAA